GAUGAACGCUGGCGGCGUGCCUAAUACAUGCAAGUCGAGCGAACAGACGAGGAGCUUGCUCCUCUGACGUUAGCGGCGGACGGGUGAGUAACACGUGGAGAACCUACCUAUAAGACUGGGAUAACUUCUGGAAACCAGAGCUAAUACCGCAUAAUAUAUUUAACCGCAUGGUUCAAUAUUGAAAGACGGUAUUGCUUUCACUUAUAAAUGGAUCCGCGCCGCUUUAGCUAGUUGGUAAGGUAACGCCUUACCAAGCGGACGUAGAGAAGCCGACCUGAGAGGGUGUUCGGCAAAAUUGGAACUGGGACACGGCCCAGACUCCUAGGGGAGGAAGCAGUAGGGAAUCUUCCGAAAUGGGCGAAGGCCUGCCGGAGAAACGCGGCGUGAGUGAUGAAGGUCUUCGGAUCGUAAAACUCUGUUAUUAGGGAAGACCAAAUGUGUAAGUAAAUAUGCACGUCUUGACGGUACCUAAUCAGAAAGCCACGGCUAACUACGUG
rnacentral:rRNA from 1 species